rfam:Danio rerio chromosome 25, GRCz11 reference primary assembly.
GUACUUGGCCAGAUCACCCUGCAGCCCAAGAGCGUUCACUUAAUGAAGCUAAGCAGGGCUGAGCCUGGUCAGUGUCUGGAUGGGAGACCACAUGGGAACACUAGGUUGCUGUUGGAA